rnacentral:rRNA from 1 species
GACGAACGCUGGCGGCGUGCUUAACACAUGCAAGUCGAACGGAAAGGCCCUGCUUUUGUGGGGUGCUCGAGUGGCGAACGGGUGAGUAACACGUGAGUAACCUGCCCUUGACUUUGGGAUAACUUCAGGAAACUGGGGCUAAUACCGGAUAGGAGCUCCUGCUGCAUGGUGGGGGUUGGAAAGUUUCGGCGGUUGGGGAUGGACUCGCGGCUUAUCAGCUUGUUGGUGGGGUAGUGGCUUACCAAGGCUUUGACGGGUAGCCGGCCUGAGAGGGUGACCGGCCACAUUGGGACUGAGAUACGGCCCAGACUCCUACGGGAGGCAGCAGUGGGGAAUAUUGCACAGUGGGCGGAAGCGUGAUGCAGCAACGCCGCGUGCGGGAUGACGGCCUUCGGGUUGUAAACCGCUUUCGCCUGUGACGAAGAGUGAGUGACGGUAAUGGGUAAAGAAGCACCGGCUAACUACGUG